AUACGGAGGAUGCAAGCGUUAUCCGGAUUUAUUGGGUUUAAAGGGUGCGUAGGCGGAUGAUUAAGCGUGAGGUGAAAUGCCACUGCUCAACAGUGGAACUGCCUCGCGAACUGGUUGUCUUGAAUGCUCCUGCCGUGGGAGGAAUGUGUGGUGUAGCGGUGAAAUGCUUAGAGAUUACACAGAACACCGAUUGCGAAGGCAUCUCACGAAGGGUUGAUUGACGCUGAGGCACGAAAGCGUGGGGAUCAAACAGGAUUAGAUACCCUGGUAGUCCACGCAGUAAACGAUGAUGGCUAACCGCUGGUUUAUUCGGAUCAGUGGCCAAGCGAAAGCGAUAAGCCAUCCACCUGGGGAGUACGACCGCAAGGUUGAAACUCAAAUGAAUUGGCGGGG
rnacentral:rRNA from 1 species